GGAUACUAUGGACCCUUCCUCCUGGAGCUGUCCGAGAUAGAUCCUGGUUGCGGAGUUGAAGAUUUUAACAAGGUUGUUUACGAGUACAACUUUGUAACAUCUCUACACCAGGUUUAUGGGUACAAUCCUGCAGCUUCAGGACUCACUUCAAACAAUCCAGAUGAUCGGCCUGAGAUCAGAAAAUACUACAUUGGAGAGUUCAGCAGAAAACUGAAACUAGCACUUCACUGUAUUACAUCCCAGAGUGAUAGUGUGGAGGAAGCUCGGCUAGUUUCUGGAUUAAUUGAUAAAUAUGUAAACCUGGCAAACCAGAGAUUAGAUCUUACACAACAGCUCAUGUAGUCUAUCUAAACCAGAGAUUAGAUCUUACACAACAGCUCAUGUAGUUUAUACAAAAACCAGAGAUUAGAUCUUACACAACAGCUCAUGUAGUUUAUAAACAAACCAGAGAUUAGAUCUUACACAACAGCUCAUGUAGUUUAUACACAAACCAGAGAUUAGAUCUUACACAACAGCUCUUGUAUGUAAUUGUACAACAUACAUAGUUUACUCAAACAAAAAGUUUUACAUUGCCACGCCAGACGGUCCCAAAUCUGGCAAUGGUGUAUCAUGCAUUGCCACAUAAAACACCAGCUAUAUGCACAUCCAGACCACAUGUGUAUUGAUUAUAAUGUACUAUAUACUGAUUGUUCCAUGUGGUAUGUGACACUGGUCGUAUCAUGGGGACAUUAGAAAGCUUAUUUCAAAUAACAAGUUAUUUUUGUUAUUUUUGUUAUUUUUGUUAUAAUAUGCUUCCCAUUUUCCGAAAUGUUUGAUCAAAUACACAAUUUCAACUUUUUAUACUUUAAGCCCUACAAGUCUUUUUUCUUGAGUAAAGGGGCCUAAGAAAGUCAAAAUAAGUUAUGGUUGGAACUAUUCUGAGCUAUAUUUGAUAUUUUAUAUUUACUCCUGUAUACGCAAGUGAACAAUCGAACUGGUCAUUCAAAGAACAUAUGUAAAUAUUCUCAAUACACAUUAUAGGGUUUUUAAAGUGUUUCUUCAUGCCCGCCCAUUGUCUGUUUUGUUUAGGGAUCAUAUCUAAUAAAUAGCGAGAUAUAGCUGAACUCUUGUGCGACGGUUUAAGCUACAAAAGUGGUUCGACUACAUCUGCGCGGUUUAACCAUGUCUCUAUUUAUUAAAUCUGGUUCCAGAUAAUCUUAUUUUUUAAAUGUUAAAUUCUGUAAAAUAAUCCGGUCUAAAAUUUAGAAUAUAAAUUCCUGCUCUACUCUACAACCCAGAAUUGAUUGAAUUAUCCACGCGCAUGUUGUGUAAUGUUAGUUGAAAUUGUCCACGCAUGUUGUGUAAUAUUAAACAAAAUUAAAGUAAGGAAUUGCAGCCAGGGGCGCACACAGGGGGCAUAGGGGUCAGUCCCCCCUCGGAAUGAAAAUUGUUAGAGAUAUUCCCCUGGCAAUGGCAGAUUUGUAAAUUUGUCCACAGUUGUCUGAAAAGUGAAAAUUUUGAACCUUUAGUUUAUAUUUUUAUUCUCGUAUAUUUUCCAGGGAGGAAACUGAUUAAAAUGUG
rnacentral:lncRNA from 1 species